rnacentral:tRNA from 1 species
UUCCCUAUGGUUCAUUGGCUAAGACUAUGCACUCCCAAUGCAGGGGGCCUGGGUUCAAUCUCUGGUGGGGGAA